CCUACGGGAGGCAGCAGUGGGGAAUAUUGCACAAUGGGGGAAACCCUGAUGCAGCGACGCCGCGUGAGUGAAGAAGUAAUUCGUUACGUAAAGCUCUAUCAGCAGGGAAGAAACACUGACCUUACGGUCAGCAGACGGUACCUGAGUAAGAAGCACCGGCUAACUACGUGCCAGCAGCCGCGGUAAUACGUAGGGGGCAAGCGUUAUCCGGAUUUACUGGGUGUAAAGGGAGCGUAGACGGUGCGCCAAGUCUGGAGUGAAAUGCCGCAGCUUAACUGCGGAACUGCUUUGGAAACUGGCGAACUAGAGUGCAGGAGGGGUAAGCGGAAUUCCUAGUGUAGCGGUGAAAUGCGUAGAUAUUAGGAGGAACACCAGUGGCGAAGGCGGCUUACUGGACCGUAACUGACGUUGAGGCUCGAAAGCGUGGGGAGCAAACAGGAUUAGAUACCCCUGUAGUC
rnacentral:rRNA from 1 species